AAGUCGUAACAAGGUAACCGUAGGUGAACCUGCGGUUGGAUCAUUACAACGUAUCCACGUAUAAACCUUGUCGUUGAACUUGUUUUGCUUGACUUGUUUUUCUCUUCGGAGAAAGCAAGCCAUGCAUCAACCUUUUUCAUAUUAACCACUUUGUAACCAAACUGAUUUUUGUUUUUUACAAACUUUCUUCUCUUGCUGUGUGCGAACUGGGGAAACCUGGCGAGCCUGGCUCGAAAGGAAAUAAAACUAAAUAAGAAAUUAAAGCACAACUCUUAACAACGGAUAUCUAGGCUCUC
rnacentral:misc_RNA from 1 species